AUGAACGCUGGCGGCGUGUCUUAGGCAUGCAAGUCGAACGAAACAGUUUGAGAUUAUAUCAAUGAUUGUUUAGUGGCAGACGGGUGCGUAUGACAGUGGUAACCUACCUCUAACAUGAGCACAACUCCGCGAAAGCGGAGCUAAUUCUCAAUAGUAAUGCGGGGUCAUAAGACAUUCGCAUUUAAAGGUCCCGCCUUUGGCGGGAUCGGUUAGAGAAGGGCCUUUGAUUUAUCAGCUAGUUGGUGAGGUAAAAGCUCACCAAGGCGAUGACGAAUAGGGGGUGUGAGAGCACGACCCCCCUCACUGGGACUGAGAUACUGCCCAGACACCUACGGGUGGCUGCAGUCAAGAAUAUUCCCCAAUGGCCGAAAGGCUGAGGGAGCGACGCCGCGUGGUUGAAGAAGUCCUUCGGGAUGUAAAAACCUUUUGCUAGGGAAAAAUACUGAUUGUACCUAGCGAAUAAGAGGUGGCUAACUCUGU
rnacentral:rRNA from 1 species